UCUCCAUUUUAAACCCGGACUGCUCGGGGAAACUCAAUGAUAACUGGAUUGCGGUCUUCAAGGACAAAAAACUCUGCUUUGCCAGCUGAGAGAAGCAGGCCCAAGAUCUUGUCUUUGAAGUGCAGAUACACAAGGGGACAUUGCUUUAAGACUUCUGCCAGUGGUCCUCCAACACCAGUCUACAAGACCGACAGGAAGACAUUCCGACCCACCUUCGAAGAGACCAGAAAGUCCUUCAUUGACUUGCAGCCUGUUGGGACCAACAUGGUUGAGUACCUGCGCCAGGCAGAGGUGACAAGACCCUACCCAUUUAUGUUGGGUCUUGGGGACUGCUCACAGGUGUUUACAGUCAUUAGUGGACAGGCAUUGGAGCAAGGUAUAUUGCUUGGGGCACUGGAAGUGUGCUUCAACUCCAAUAUGUGUUUGAUAUAAACAUUCCUACAGACCACAGUGUAUCAGCUGCCAGGAACAGAAUCCCCUGCUGUAAGCAUGUAUUUUUUCCACUGAACAAUAGUGGAUAAGUAUCUGCUCUUGUAUGUAGUUUGAGAAGUGACAGGAGGAAGCACUGGCUGAUGUGUUUGUGUUCCUGUGAAUUAAUAGAUCAAUGGAUGGAUGAGCCAUGAGUGUCUCUGAUUCAGGUUGGGUUAAAUACGGAAUACAUUUUGGUUGAAUGCAUUCAGUUGUGCAACUGACUAGGUAUCCCCUUCAUAUUACAAUGCUCUUAACUAUUUAUAGCUCUUUUAAAUGGACUUUAAGUUUGUUUCAAUGCAUUUGUGCCUGCU